GUUUGACAACUUACCUGGGGUCUGCUGGGAUAUGGGGCUGUAGUAGGGAAUAGGAGCAGUGGUGCAAUGUGUGUGAAAGGUUCAGUGUGUGUGUGGGGGUGUAGUGUGUGAAUGUGUAGGGUGUGUGGGCUGUGUAUGUGUGUGGCAAUGUCAGUAUGGGGGGCUGUGUAUGGGGGUCUGUGUGUAUAUGGGUGGGUAGUGUAUGUGUGUGUGUGAGGCAAUGUGUGUAAAUGUGUAUGGUGUGUAUGGGGGCAGUGUGU
rnacentral:lncRNA from 1 species